rnacentral:rRNA from 1 species
AAGGAUCUCCGUUGGUGACCAGCGGAGGGACAUUACCGAGUUUACAACUCCCAAACCCCUGUGAACAUACCUAUACGUUGCCUCGGCGGAUCAGCCCGCGCCCCGUAAAACGGGACGGCCCGCCCGAGGACCCCUAAACUCUGUUUUUAGUGGAACUUCUGAGUAAAACAAACAAAUAAAUCAAAACUUUCAACAACGGAUCUCUUGGUUCUGGCAUCGAUGAAGAACGCAGCAAAAUGCGAUAAGUAAUGUGAAUUGCAGAAUUCAGUGAAUCAUCGAAUCUUUGAACGCACAUUGCGCCCGCCAGUAUUCUGGCGGGCAUGCCUGUUCGAGCGUCAUUUCAACCCUCAAGCUCAGCUUGGUGUUGGGACUCGCGGUAACCCGCGUUCCCCAAAUCGAUUGGCGGUCACGUCGAGCUUCCAUAGCGUAGUAAUCAUACACCUCGUUACUGGUAAUCGUCGCGGCCACGCCGUUAAACCCCAACUUCUGAAUGUUGACCUCGGAUCAGGUAGGAAUACCCGCUGAACUUAA